AAAUCUCCGCACCAGUGACCAAACCUGAAUCAUAUAUGUAUAUUCACUAUCCUUAGCUUUAAGACUAAGAGAGACCAACAAGUAAACUAAAAAAAAAACGAGAAUUUGCAAACAAAAAUAGAAAGAUCGGGAACCCUAAAUCCGGCGAAAUUUCAUUUUCCCGGUGAAUCAGACAGAAUUAACUUCAACAAAGUACAUAAAGAAAACAGAGAAAGAAAAACAGAGGAUGAGAGAAUAGAAGAGCGUACAAGAUGAACAGGAGCUUGAAU